GCCGCCCGCUCAAGACGUCGCCUUCAGCUCGGUAGUAGCCGUCUACACGCCUCGCCUGCUACACAGGCCUGAUGAGCAAGCCUCUCGACGUGCAAGCCAUCCGAUCCCUCUUCCCGGCUUUGGGUCGCCGGGAACAGGGUCGUCCGGUGGCCUAUCUGGACGGCCCGGGUGGGACCCAGACGCCACAAGAGGUCAUCGAUGCGAUGAGCGCCGCCCUGCGCCACGGCGUCAGCAACCUGGGGGGCGGCUUCGGCUCCUCAGACGACGCCGAGACGAUCAUGGCCGAGGGCCGGCGGGCCAUGGCCGACUUCUUCGGAGCGGCCCCGAACGAGAUCUCCUUCGGUCAGAACAUGACCAGCAUCACAUUCGCUCUGAGCCGCUCCCUGACCAAGUCCUGGAAGUCGGGUGACGCCAUCGUCCUGACCAGCCUCGACCACGACGCCAACUUCACCCCUUGGGCCCGGGCCGCAGAGGACGCCGGAGUCGAGGUGAGGGUCGCCCACUUCGACACCGCCACUGGGGAGUUGGACCCAGCCGAGAUCGCCGGUCUGCUCGACGAACGGGUCAAGCUCGUUGCCACCUGUGUCGCCUCCAACGCGAUCGGCACCCUGGUCGACAUAGAGCAGAUCACACGGCUCGCCCACGAUGCCGGGGCCUUGGUCUACCUCGACGCGGUGCAUGCCGGUCCCCACCACCUGGUCGACGUCGGCUCGAUCGGUUGUGACUUCCUGGUCGCCUCGGCAUACAAGUUCUUCGGACCUCACACCGGGAUCCUCUACGGCCGGAUCGACCGUCUCGCCGAGUUGGACUUCUACAAGGUGAGGCCGGCUCCCUCCGACCCACCCGACAAGCUCGAAACUGGGACCCAGAGCUUUGAAUCCAUCGCCGGUGUUGGGGCCGCGGUGGACUAUCUCGCCGGGCUGGGAGACGGCGGCGACCGCCGAGCGGCCCUCGAGUCCGCCUACGCCCGCAUCCGCGAACA
rnacentral:misc_RNA from 1 species